rnacentral:rRNA from 1 species
AUUGAACGCUGGCGGCAGGCCUAACACAUGCAAGUCGAGCGGUAGCGCGGACUACGGGCUGGCGUUGCUCGCGAAACGCGUGAGUAAUGGUUAGGUAUAUGCCAAGUCGUGGGGGAUGAGAAUACGUACGAAAUGCGAUAACUGCUAACGCCUAGCGUGGCAAAGCCAGGGAUCGCGACCUUCGGCCCUCUUGCCAUGGGCUGUGCCCAGAUGGGAUUAGCUAGUUGGUGGGGUAAAGGCUCACCAAGGCGACGAUCCGUAGCUGGUCUGAGAGGAUGAUCAGCCACACUGGAACUGAGACACGGCCCAGACUCCUACGGGAGGCAGCAGUGGGGAAUUUUGGACAAUGGGGGCAACCCUGAUCCAGCCAUGCCGCGUGAGUGAAGAAGGCCUUCGGGUUGUAAAGCUCUUUCAGCAGGAACGAAGCGGUGAGCUCUAACAUAGUCCGCUAAUGACGUUACCUGAAGAAGAAGCACCGGCUAACUACGUG